rnacentral:rRNA from 1 species
UAGCUUGCUAGGAGAUGACGAGCGGCGGACGGGUGAGUAAUGCUUGGGAAUAUGCCUUAUGGUGGGGGACAACAGUUGGAAACGACUGCUAAUACCGCAUAACGUCUACGGACCAAAGGAGGGGAUCUUCGGACCUUUCGCCAUUUGAUUAGCCCAAGUGAGAUUAGCUAGUUGGUGAGGUAAUGGCUCACCAAGGCGACGAUCUCUAGCUGGUUUGAGAGGAUGAUCAGCCACACUGGGACUGAGACACGGCCCAGACUCCUACGGGAGGCAGCAGUGGGGAAUAUUGCACAAUGGGCGAAAGCCUGAUGCAGCCAUGCCGCGUGUGUGAAGAAGGCCUUCGGGUUGUAAAGCACUUUCAGUUGUGAGGAAAGGGAUGUAGUUAAUAACUGCAUUCUGUGACGUUAACAACAGAAGAUGCACCGGCUAACUUCGUGCCAGCAGCCGCGGUAAUACGAGGGGUGCAAGCGUUAAUCGGAAUUACUGGGCGUAAAGCGUUCGUAGGCGGUUAUUUAAGCAGGGUGUGAAAUGCCCAGGGCUCAA